UUCAAUCUCGUUACCGGCAAGUCUCUUUACUCGUUCCGCAACACAUCAUCCCAUGAUCAACCCCUUGGUCACAUUGUGCACAUUAUGAUGAUGUCCUACCGAGUGGGCCCAGAGAUACCUCUCCGUUUACACGGAGUGACAAAUCCCAGUCUCGAUCCGUGUCAACCCAAAAGACACUUUCGGAGAUACCUGUAAUGCACCUUUAUAGUCACCUAGUUACGUUGUGACGUUUGAUACACCCAAAGCACUCCUACGGUAUCCGGGAGUUACACGAUCUCAUGGUCUAAGGAAGAGAUACUUGACAUUAGAAAAGCUCUAGCAAACGAACUACACGAUCUUUGUGCUAUGCUUAGGAUUGGGUCUUGUCCAUCACAUCAUUCUCCUAAUGAUGUGAUCCCGUUAUCAACGACAUCCAAUGUCCAUAGCCAGGAAACCAUGACUAUCUGUUGAUCACAACGAGCUAGUCAACUAGAGGCUUACUAGGGACAUAUUGUGGUCUAUGUAUUCACACGUGUAUUAUGAUUUCCGGAUAAUACAGUUAUAGCAUGAAUAAAAGACAAUUAUCAUGAACAAGGAAAUAUAAUAAUACUUUUAUUAUUGCCUCUAGGGCAUAUUUCCAACAGUCUCCCACUUGCACUAGAGUCAAUAAUCUAGUUCACAUCACCAUGUGAUUAACACUCACAGGUCACAUCGCCAUGUGACCAACAUCAUCAAAUGAGUUCUAGGGUUUGAUCAUGUUUUGCUUGUGAGAGAGGUUGUAGUCAACGGGUCUGAACCUUUCAGAUCCGUGUGUGCUUUGCAAAUUUCUAGGUCAUAUUGUAAACGCUGCUUCCACGCUCCACUUGGAGCUAUUGCAAAUUGUUGCUCCACUAUACGUAUCCGGUUUGCUACUCAGAGUCACUCGGAUAGGUGUUAAAGCUUGCAUCGACGUAACCCUUUACGCCGAACUCUUUAUCACCUCCAUAAUUGAGAAACAUGUCCUUAUUUACUCCAAGGAUAAUUUUGACCGCUGUCCAAUGAUCCAUUCCUGGAUCAUUCUUGUACCCCUUGACUGACUCAUGGCAAGGCACACUUCCGGUGCGGUACACAGCAUAGCAUACUAUAGAGCCUACGUCUGAAGCAUAGGGGACGACCUUCGUCCUUUCUCUCUUUUCUGCCGUGGUCGAGCUUUAAGUCUUAACUUCACACCUUACAACUCAGGCAAGAACUCCUUCUUUGACUGAUCCAUCUUGAACACCUUCAAGAUCAUGUCAAGGUAUGUGCUCAUUUUGAAAGUACCAUUAAGCGUUUUUGAUCUAUCCUCAUAGAUCUUGAUGCUCAAUGUUCAAGUAGCUUAAUCCAGGUUAUCCAUUGAAAAACAUUUUUCAAAUAACCCCAUACGCUUUCCAGAAAUUCUACAUCAUUUCUGAUCAACAAUAUGUCAACAACAUAUACUCGUCAGAAAUUCUAUAGUGCUCCCACUCACUUCUUUGGAAAUACAAGUUUCUCAUAAACUUUGUAUAAACAAAAAAUCUCUGAUCAUCUUAUCAAAGUGCAUAUUCCAACUCCGAGAUGCUUACUCCAGCCCUUAGAAGGAUCACUGGAGCCAGCAUACCUUUUAGCAUCCUUAGGAUUGACAAAAAACUUUCGGAUUGUAUCACAUACAACCUUUCCUUACGAAGAAUGGUAACGAAACUCGUUUUGACAUCCAUCUGCCAGAUUUCAUAAAUGCAGCUGAUGCUAACAUGAUUCCGACGGACUUAAGCAUUGCUACGGAUGAGAAAAUCUCAUCGUAGUUAACUCCUUGAACUUGUGAAAAACUCUUCGCCACAAGUCGAGCUUCAUAGACGGUGACAUCACCGUCCACGUCCGUCUUCUUCUUAAAGAUCCAUUUAUCUCAAUGGCUUGCCAAUCAUCGGGCAAGUCCACCAAAGUCCAUGCUUUGUUACGAUACAUGGAUCCUAUCUCGGAUUUCAUGGCUUCUAACCAUUUGUUGGAAUUUGGGACCACCAUUGCUUCUCCAUAGCUCGUAGGUUCAUUGUUGUCUAGCAACAUGACCUUCAAGACAAGAUUAAUGUACAACUCUGAAGUAGUACGCAUCCUUGUCACCCUACGAGGUACGGUAGUGACUUGAUCCGAAGUUUCAUGAUCACUAUCAUAAGCUUCUACUUCAAUUGGUGUAGGUGCCACAGGAACAACUUCCUGUGCCUUGCUACACACUGGUUGAAGUGAUGGUUUAAUAACCUCAUUAAGUCUCCACCAUCCUCCCACUCAACUUUUCGAGACAAACUUUUCCUCGAGAAAGGACCCGAUUCAAGAAACAAUCCCUAUUGCUUUCGGAUCUGAAUUAGGAGGUAUACCCAACUGUUUUAGGUGUCCUAUGAAGAUGCAUUUUAUCCGCUUUGGGUUCAAGCUUAUCAACCUGAAACUUUUUCACAUAAGCAUCGCAGCCCCAAACUUUUAAGAAAUGACAGCUUAGGUUUCUCUAAACCAUAGUUCAUACAGUGUCAUCUCAACGGAAUUACGUGGUGCCCUAAUUAAAGUGAAUGUGGUUGUCUCUAAUGCCUAACCCAUGAACGAUAGUGGUAAUUCGACAAGUGACAUCAUGGUACGCACCAUAUCCAAUAGGGUGCAACUAUGAUGUUCGGACACACCAUCAAACUAUGGUGUUCCAGGCGGUAUUAAUUGUGAAAACAAUUUCCACAAUGUCUUAAUUGCGUGCCAAAGCUCGUAACUCAGAUACUCAUCUCUAUGAUCAUAUCAUAGACAUUUCAUCCUCUUGUCACGAUGAUCUUCAACUUCACUCUGAAAUUACUUGAACCAUUCAAUAAUUCAUACUUGUGUUUCAUCAAGUAAAUAUACUCUACAUCUACUCGAAUCAUCUGUGAAGUAAGAACAUAACGAUAUUCACUGCAUGCCUCAGCACUCAUUGGACUGCACACAUCAAAAUGUGUUACUUCCAACAAGUUGCUAUCUUGUUCCAUCUUACUGAAACCGAGGCUUUUCAGUCAUUUUGCCCAUGUGGUAUGAUUUGCAUAUCUCAAGUGAUUCAAAAUCAAGUGAGUCCAAACGAUCCAUCUGCAUGGAGUUUCUUCAUGCGUAUACACCAAUAGACAUGGUUCGCAUGUCUCAAACUUUUCAAAAACGAGUGAGUCCAAAGAUCCAUCAAUAUGGAGCUUCUUCAUGCGUUUUAUACCAAUAUGACUUACAUGGCAGUGCCACAAGUAAGUGGUACUAUCAUUAUUAUCUUAUAUCUUUUGGCAUGAAAAUGUGUAUCACUACGAUCGAGAUUCAAUAAACCAUUCAUUUCAGGUGCAAGACCAUUGAAGGUAUUAUUCAAAUAAACAGAGUAACCAUUAUUCUCCUUAAAUGAAUAACCGUAUUGCGAUAGACAUAAUCCAAUCAUGUCUAUGCUCAACGCAAACACCAAAUCUUGAUGGUAGAGGGAGCGUGCGAUGCUUGAUCACAUCAACCUUGGAAACACUUCCAACACAUAUCGUCAGCUCACCUUUAGCUAGUCUCCGUUUAUUCCGUAGCUUUUAUUUCGAGUUACUAACACUUAGCAACCGAACCGGUAUCUAAUACCCUGGUGCUACUAGGAGUACUAGUAAAGUACACAUUAACAUAAUGUAUAUCCAAUAUACUUCUAUCGACCUUGCCAGCCUUCUCAUCUACCAAGUAUCUAGGGUGGUUCCGCUUCAGUGCCCGUUCCUCUUAUUACAGAAGCACUUAGUCUCGGGUUUGGGUUCAACCUUGGGUUUCUUCACUAGAGCAGCAGCUGAUUUGCCGUUUCAUGAAGUAUCCCUUCUUGCCCUUGCCCUUCUUGAAACUAGUGGUUUCACCAACCAUCAACAAUUGAUGCUCCUUCUUGAUUUCUACUUUCGCGGUGUCAAACAUCGCGAAUACCUCAAGGAUCAUCAUAUCUAUCCCUGAUAUGUUAUAGUUCAUCACGAAGCUCUAGCAGCUUGGUGGCAAUGACUUUGGAGAAACAUCACUAUCUCAUCUGGAAGAUUAACUCCCACUCAAUUCAAGUGAUUGUUGCACUCAGACAAUCUGAGCACAAGCUCAACGAUUGAGCUUUUCUCCCUUAGUUUGCAGGCUAAGAAAAUCGUCGGAGGUCUCAUACCUCUUGACGUGGGCACGAGCCUGAAAUCUCAAUUUCAGCCCUCGAAACAUCUCAUAUGUUCCGCGAAGUUUCGAAAACGUCUUUGGUGCCUCAACUCUAAACCGUUUAACUGAACUAUCACGUAGUUAUCAAAACGUGUAUGUCUGAUGUUCGCAACAUCCACAAACAACGUUUAGGGUUCAGCACACUGAGCGGUGCAUUAAGGACAUAAGUUUUUUACUGUCCGCAUAAUCGCUACUGUCAACUUUCAACUAUAUUUUCUCUAGGAACAUAUCUAAACAGUGGAACUAAAGCGCGAGCUUACGACAUAAUUUGCAAAGGUCUUUUGACUAUGUUCAGGAUAAUUAAGUUCAUCUUAUGAACUCCCACUCAGAUAGUCAUCCCUCUGGUCAUCUAAGUGAUUACAUGAUCCAAGUCAACUAGGCCGUGUCCGAUCAUCACGUGAGACGGACUAGUCAUCAUCGGUGAACAUCUUCAUGUUGAUCGUAUCUACUAUACGACUCAUGCUCGACCUUUCGGUCUCCGUGUUCCGAGGCCAUGUCUGUACAUGCUAGGCUCGUCAAGUUAACCCUAAGUGUUUUCGCUGUGUAAAACUGUCUUACACCCGUUGUAUGUGAACGUAAGAAUCCAUCACACCCGAUCAUCACGUGGUGCUUAGAAGCGACGAACUGUAGCAACGGUGCACAGUUAGGGGAGAACACUUCUUGAAAUUUUGUAAGGGAUCAUCUUAUUUACUACCGUCGUCCUAAGUAAACAAGAUGCAUAAACAUGAUAAACAUCACAUGCAAUCAAAUAGUGACAUGAUAUGGCCAAUAUCAUUUUGCUCCUUUUGAUCUCCAUCUUCGGGGCUCCAUGAUCAUCAUCGUCACCGGCAUGACACCAUGAUCUCCAUCAUCAUGAUCUCCAUCAUCGUGUCUUCAUGAAGUUGUCUCGCCAACUAUUACUUCUACUACUAUGGCUACCGGUUAGCAAUAAAGUAAAGUAAUUACAUGGCGUUGUUCAAUGACACGCAGGUCAUACAAUAAAUUAAGACAACUCCUAUGGCUCCUGCCGGUUGUCAUACUCAUCGACAUGCAAGUCGUGAAUCCUAUUACAAGAACAUGAUCAAUCUCAUACAUCACAUAUCAUUCAUCACAUUCUUCUUGGCCAUAUCACAUCACAUAGCAUACCCUGCAAAAACAAGUUAGACGUCCUCUAAUUGUUGUUUGCAUGUUUUACGUGGCUGCUAUGGGUUUCUAGCAAGAACGUUUCUUACCUACGCAAAACCACAACGUGAUAUGCCAAAUUGCUAUUUACCCUUCAUAAGGACCCUUUUCAUCGAAUCCGUUCCGACUAAAGUGGGAGAGACUGGCACCCGCUAGCCACCUUAUGCACGAAGUGCAUGUCAAUCGGUGGAACCUGUCUCACGUAAGAGUACGUGUAAGGUCGGUCCGGGCCGCUUCAUCCCACAAUACCGUCGAAACAAGAUUGGACUAGUAACGGUAAGCAUAUUGAACAAAAUCAACGCCCACAACUACUUUGUGUUCUACUCGUGCAAAGAAUCUACGCAAUAGACCUAGCUCAUGAUGCCACUGUUGGGUAACGUAGCAGAAAUUCAAAAUUUUCCUACGUGUCACCAAGAUCUAUCUAUGGAGAGACCAGCAACGAGGGGAAGGAGAGUGCAUCUACAUACCCUUGUAGAUCGCUAAGCGGAAGCGUUCAAGAGAACGGGGUUGAAGGAGUCGUACUCAUCGUGAUCCAAAUCACCGGAGAUCCUAGUGCCGAACGGACGGCACCUCCGCGUUCAACACACGUACAGCCCGGUGACGUCUCCCACGCCUUGAUCCAGCAAGGAGAGAGGGAGAGGUUGAGGAAGACUCCAUCCAGCAGCAGCACAACGGCGUGGUGGUGAUGGAGGAGCGUGGUAGUCCAGCAGGGCUUCGCCAAGCACCGCAAGAUAUGAGGAGAAGGGAGAGAGGUAUGGCUGCGCCAACAGGAGGAGGAACUCAUGUGUUGAUAGCAGCCCCAAACCUCAAGUAUAUAUAGGGGAGGGGAGGGCUGUGCCACCAUCUAGGGUUCCCUCCCCAGGGGUGGCAGCAACCCCCAGAUCCCAUCUGGGUGGCGGCUAGAAGGGGAGAGGGGGGAGGCGCACCCAGGGUGGGCCUUAGGGCCCAUCUGCCCUAGGGUUUGCCCCCCUUCCCCACUUCCUGCGCCUUGGGCCCCUUGUGGGGGGCGCACCAGCCCACCUGGGGCUGGUUCCCUCCCACACAUGGCCCAUGCAGCCCUCCGGGGUAGGUGGCCCCACUUGGUGGACCCCCGGGACCCUCCCGGUGGUCCCGGUACGUUACCGAUAAAACCCGAAACUUUUCCGGUGACCAAAACAGGACUUCCCAUAUAUAAAUCUUUACCUCCGGACCAUUCCGGAACUCCUCGUGACGUCCGGGAUCUCAUCUGGGACUCCGAACAACAUUCGGUAACCACAUACAAGCUUCCUUUAUAACCCUAGCGUCAUCGAACCUUAAGUGUGUAGACCCUACGGGUUCGGGAGACAUGUAGACAUGACCGAGACGUUCUCCGGUCAAUAACCAACAGAGGGAUCUGGAUACCCAUGUUGGCUCCCACAUGUUCCACGAUGAUCUCAUCGGAUGAACCACGAUGUCAAGGACUCAGUCGAUCCCGUAUACAAUUCCCUUUGUCUAGCGGUAUUUUACUUGCCCGAGAUUCGAUCGUCGGUAUGCCGAUACCUUGUUCAAUCUCGUUACCGGCAAGUCUCUUUACUCGUUCCGCAACACAUCAUCCCGUGAUCAACCCCUUGGUCACAUUGUGCACAUUAUGAUGAUGUCCUACCGAGUGGGCCCGGAGAUACCUCUCCGCUUACACGGAGUGACAAAUCCCAGUCUCGAUCCGUGUCAACCCAAAAGACACUUUCGGAGAUACCUGUAAUGCACCUUUAUAGUCACCCAGUUACGUUGUGACGUUUGAUACACCCAAAGCACUCCUACGGUAUCCGGGAGUUACACAAUCUCAUGGUCUAAGGAAGAGAUACUUGACAUUAGAAAAGCUCUAGCAAACGAACUACACGAUCUUUGUGCUAUGCUUAGGAUUGGGUCUUGUCCAUCACAUCAUUCUCCUAAUGAUGUGAUCCCGUUAUCAACGACAUCCAAUGUCCAUAGCCAGGAAACCAUGACUAUCUGUUGAUCACAACGAGCUAGUCAACUAGAGGCUUACUAGGGACAUAUUGUGGUCUAUGUAUUCACACGUGUAUUAUGAUUUCCGGAUAAUACAGUUAUAGCAUGAAUAAAAGACAAUUAUCAUGAACAAGGAAAUAUAAUAAUACUUUUAUUAUUGCCUCUAGGGCAUAUUUCCAACA
rnacentral:lncRNA from 1 species